GCUGGGCAUGGUGGCGCAUGCCUGUAAUCCCAGCUACUUAGGAGGCUGAGGCAGGAGAAUUGCUUGAACUCGGGGGGUGGAGGUUGCAGUGAGCUGGGAUCGUGCCACUGCACUCCAGCCUGGGCGACAGAGCAAAACUCCGUCUCAA
ensembl:misc_RNA Metazoa_SRP Metazoan signal recognition particle RNA